GGGCCCGCACAAGCGGUGGAGCAUGUGGUUCAAUUCGACGCAACGCGAAGAACCUUACCCAGAUUUGACAUUGAUGGAACCCUGUAGAGAUACGGGGUGCCCUUUUGGGCCCAGAAAACAGGUGCUGCAUGGCUGUCGUCAGCUCGUGUCGUGAGAUGUUGGGUUAAGUCCCGCAACGAGCGCAACCCUCGCCGUUAGUUGCCAGCGGAUAAUGCCGGGCACUCUAAUGGGACUGCCGGUGUCAAGCCGGAGGAAGGUGGGGAUGACGUCAAGUCCUCAUGGCCUUUAUGUCUGGGGCUACACACGUGCUACAAUGGUCGCUACAGAGCGCUGCGAACCCGCGAGGGGGAGCCAAUCGCAAAAAGGCGGCCUCAGUUCGGAUCGGAGUCUGCAACCCGACUCCGUGAAGUCGGAAUCGCUAGUAA
rnacentral:rRNA from 1 species